CCAGACUCCUACGGGAGGCAGCAGUGAGGAAUAUUGGUCAAUGGGCGGAAGCCUGAACCAGCCAAGUCGCGUGAGGGAAUAAGGCCCUACGGGUCGUAAACCUCUUUUGCCGGGGAGCAAGGGCGGGGACGUGUCCCGGCCCGGAGAGUACCCGGAGAAAAAGCAUCGGCUAACUCCGUGCCAGCAGCCGCGGUAAUACGGAGGAUGCGAGCGUUAUCCGGAUUUAUUGGGUUUAAAGGGUGCGUAGGCGGGCUUUUAAGUCAGCGGUAAAAAUUCGGGGCUCAACCCCGGCCGGCCGUUGAAACUGGGGGCCUUGAGUGGGCGAGAAGAAGGCGGAAUGCGUGGUGUAGCGGUGAAAUGCAUAGAUAUCACGCAGAACUCCGAUUGCGAAGGCAGCUUACUAUGCCAUAACUGACACUGAAGCACGAAAGCGUGGGGAUCAAACAGGAUUAGAUACCCCGGCAU
rnacentral:rRNA from 1 species